CAAAGGUUUAGUCCUAGCCUUCCCAUCAGCUACCACCCGAUCUACACAUGCAAGUCUCCGCACCCCCGUGAGAACGCCCUCAUGCCCCCCUGGGGGGCAAGGAGCCGGUAUCAGGCACAACCCACUAGCCCAAGACACCUAGCACAGCCACUCCCACAAGGGUAAUCAGCAGUGAUCAACUUUGAGUAUAAGCGACAGCUAGACUCAGUCAGGGUGAAUUAGAGCCGGCAAAUCCGGUGCCAGCCGCCGCGGCUACACCGCGCGGCUCAGGUCGAUGACUGCGGCGUAAAGCGUGGUUAAAGUAUAUACCUCACUGGAAUUAAACUAUAACCAAGCCGUGACACGCUCGUUAUACAGAAACCCAAGCACGAAAGUCAUUCCAUUAAACUUGAACCCACGACAGUUAGGACACAAACUGGGAUUAGGAACCUCACUAUGCCUAACCGUAAACUUUCAAACUACACCAAUUAACCGCCAGGACACUACGAGCCAAGCUUAAAACCCAAAGGACUUGACGGCGCCCCAAAUCCCUCUAGAGGAGCCUGUUCUAUAAUCGACAAUACCCGCUAUACCUCACCACCCCUUGCCACAUUCAGCCUGUAUACCUCCGUCGCCAGCUCACCACAUGAGCGAACAUUAGUGAGCUUAGUGGCCCCCCGCCAAUACGUCAGGUCAAGGUGCAGCAUAUGUCGUGGGCAGAAAUGGGCUACACUUCCUAACCACUAGGAUACACGGAUGACCCAAUGAAACCUGGUCAAAAGGCGGAUUUAGCAGUAAAAGAGGGACAGAGCACCUCUUUUAACCCGGCCCUGGGGCAUGUACAA
rnacentral:ncRNA from 1 species